GCUCUUAACCUCUGAGCCAUUUCUCCAGCCCUGGACUAAACUUCUGAACUGUGCAGGGUGGAGCAUCCCUUUCUGAAGGCUUUCACCGGGAUCUGCUGCUGCAAGGAUGUGCGGAGGUGAGGGCUGGAUGGAAUGCUCUUCCCUAGGAUGUCUUCCUAGUCCUAUGGCCUGCUGGCAGGGACGCCAUUACCUGGAAGCCUUGACCAUGACCUCACAAGGCUGACCUGUGCCCUCCCUGGCUCUUGUGUGCCCACCUGAUCGCCUUCAUCUGGCUCAUCACAUAACUGUUUGCUCCUGAAUGCCUUCUCCACAUUAGGGCCUCCUUUUUAAUUAUGUUCCCCAAAGGGUAGCCAAGUAGAUAGUCGUUAAUUCCUACCCUCCCCUGGACAGGAGGGCCACGGGGAGCUCCUGGGGAACUCCUGUACAGACUGAGUGCUUGUCUGUCCUGGAACUAGCUCUUGUAGUUCGAACUCACAGAGAUCCACCUACCUCUGCCUCCUGAGAGCUGGAACUAAAGGCGUGCGCCACUACUGCCCGAAGAUUAAGGAGCACAGGGGUGUCUGUUUGAUGUUAGAGGAGGAGGGCAAUGGGGAGGUGAAGACUGGAGAGUGAGAGCAGCUCGUGAGCCUGCUGGGAAUCAACUUCACCAAGAAGAGUGAACUGGGCAGAGGCAACGAAGGUUCUUUAACUGCAAUGGCUCCCUGAUGCCAACGGGGAUUUACUAUGAGGAAGCCCGCAGCCUUGACAAGGACAGCAAGGACGACACAGACCAGAACAUACAUGAAGAGGGCCUUAGGCCUACAGGUUUAUAGCAGAUGGCAGGAGAGUCCAGUCAGGUUGGUCCAGUAACGUAGCUGCUUGUCUGCCGGAGGUCUGCCCAGGGAAUCCGCUGCCCACUGCCGCCCUCCCUGCCUACAGCUCUGCAUUGAUGAAAUGUUCCAGCCAGACUCUACUGUUUCUCACUGUCCCGACUGGAAGGAGUUGGGCCUGAAGAAGGAUACGUGGACAGUCCUGGACACACAGUUCAGAUCAUUUCGCUCUCAUCUUGGCCUUUCCCGCUGUCCAGAUCUGGGCUCUGAACACCAGCAGGAGUAGUAAGGGAGCCCCCACUAGCCCUGUCUGUCUACACUCUGGGGGCGCUAGAGCCGCUUCCACAAAGGCAGAGACCAUGUUCAC